rnacentral:misc_RNA from 1 species
CCUCCUUACCUUAAAGAUACGUCGUAUGUGAGUGUUCACACAGAUUGCUUGAAAAACAAGAUAAAUUGGGGCUAUAGCUCAGCUGGGAGAGCGCCUGCCUUGCACGCAGGAGGUCAGCAGUUCGAUCCUGCUUAGCUCCACCAGUUUGAUACUUGUUUUUCUUCUGUUCUUUAACAAUUUGGAAAGCUGAAAAAGAGUUCUUUAAAAAGCAAUUUGCGAUUUAAAGUUAAUUUUAAAAAUAUUAGCUAUGUAACACAGACUCAUGUGUGUUGUAUGGUUAAGUGAAUAAGCGUAUACGGUGGAUGCCUUGGCAGUCAGAGGCGAUGAAGGACGUGUUAAUCUGCGAUAAGCUGUGGUAAGUUGAUAAAAAGCGCUAUAACCACAGAUUUCCGAAUGGG